GGAAGUAAAAGUCGCAACAAGGUUUCCGUAGGUGAACCUGCGGAAGGAUCAUUAAUGUGUUUGGGCCUCACGGCUCUUCAUUCCGACGCUGUGCGCCUUCGGGCUGCACGCUGAGGGAGCAUAUAUCCACCCCUGUGCACACACACGGUGGCGAGCUGGGUAACGGCUCGCCGCUGAUCUUUACACACGUCUAAAAGUCAUUGUAUGUUUAUUUGAGAUAAAAACACAACUUUCAGCAACGGAUCUCUUGGCUCUC
rnacentral:misc_RNA from 1 species